rnacentral:rRNA from 1 species
GUGCACGCUGGCGGUAGGCCUAACACAUGCAAGUCGAACGGCAGCACAGUAAGAGCUUGCUCUUACGGGUGGCGAGUGGCGGACGGGUGAGGAAUACAUCGGAAUCUACUUUUUCGUGGGGGAUAACGUAGGGAAACUUACGCUAAUACCGCAUACGACCUACGGGUGAAAGCAGGGGAUCUUCGGACCUUGCGCGAUUGAAUGAGCCGAUGUCGGAUUAGCUAGUUGGCGGGGUAAAGGCCCACCAAGGCGACGAUCCGUAGCUGGUCUGAGAGGAUGAUCAGCCACACUGGAACUGAGACACGGUCCAGACUCCUACGGGAGGCAGCAAUGGGGAAUAUUGGACAAUGGGCGCAAGCCUGAUCCAGCCAUACCGCGUGGGUGAAGAAGGCCUUCGGGUUGUAAAGCCCUUUUGUUGGGAAAGAAAAGCAGCAGGUUAAUACCCCGCUGUUCUGACGGUACCCAAAGAAUAAGCACCGGCUAACUUCGUG